ensembl:piRNA 21ur-2914 ncRNA
UUCCUAGUCUCUUAAUUAGCU